rnacentral:rRNA from 1 species
UACGUAGGGUGCGAGCGUUAAUCGGAAUUACUGGGCGUAAAGCGUGCGCAGGCGGUUAUGCAAGACAGAUGUGAAAUCCCCGGGCUCAACCUGGGAACUGCAUUUGUGACUGCAUAGCUAGAGUACGGUAGAGGGGGGAUGGAAUUCCGCGUGUAGCAGUGAAAAUGCGUAGAUAUGCGGAGGAACACCGAUGGCGAAGGCAAUCCCCCUGGACCUGUACUGACG